GGGAUACACUUAGAGUCCCCAUGUGCGGAAGUGUUAAUAGUGGCUGCAUUUGGCCGUGCGUCACGGUUAGUGAAUC
rnacentral:ncRNA from 1 species